UCCACUAGACGAUAUGGUGUAGGCGUGGGUAGUAUCCACUCCACAGUGCGCUGAAGCGUCCGUGCAGGUUCAUCUGGAUGCACCAAAGAAGUAGCCGUGAAUCGAAUGGUGCCCCGAAAUCGGCACCUCGUGUUGCCUUCGAGGGUCUCCCAAGCUCCCUCUAGGCACUCCAUCUCUACUCGAUCACGGAUUAGCUGCGCCGCCAUCACGAUCUACAAGGAAGAAGAGAAAGGGGUAGACUCUUUCACAAGAAUCUAACUGUGCUGCACACGAUGCGUCUCAUAAACACUACAUGCAAUAAAAAGGGGUAUUCUAAGGCUUUCCAUCUCUGGUAAUCGAUUACACAGCCUUGGUAAUCGAUUACCAGAGGCUAAACUUGAAUUACACAGCCUCAGGACAUGAAAUAUGCAAUAAUACACUGUGUAAUCGAUUACACAUGCCUGGUAAUCGAUUACCAGUGACCCAUUCCUCUGUGUAAUCGAUUACACAGGCUGGUAAUCGAUUACCAGAGGCUCCCUAAGUUUCCUGACUUCGUUUUCAAGCCUGGUAAUCGAUUACACCCCUUGGUAAUCGAUUACCAGAGACCAUCUUAGCCUCCUGUCCUCAAUUUUAAGCCUUGUAAUCGAUUACCCACCCUUGGUAAUCGAUUACCAGAGGCCACCAUCCACAUAUUACACAAAAUUCACAGCUGGCCAGCCACCACAAGCCUCCUUGCUUUGUGGUCUUGUUUUCCUUUUAUCUGUUGACUGCCAGGAGCUCGCCUGUUUAGGUACAUCACAGGUUCUCACUGACCGACUAUGCCCGGGUUGGGUCGGGAUUGGUCAAGCUUGGUUUUGGGCAAUAGCACCCCACCUGACAUCCCCAAGGUCUCCUGACCCCCGCGACAUAUCUCCAGGUACCACUCUGUGGUCAACAAUAAAAGCAGGAAGUUUCACCCUUCAACACUUCCUCAUCUCAAGCUUGUAGAAUUAUGGGGUACCCAUCACAUGUGGUACUAGGUGGCGGUCGGGCGAUGGUGCACAACAAGCUUUCCACAUCCACAAUGCGCGCAUAAACCCACCAUCCCCGGUUGCCCACCUCCAACUGAGCUCACGUACUCCCACGUAGCCCAUAUCCUCGUUUCUCUCAACACCGGGUCCCCAUCAAUCCUCUCAAGCUUCCACAACAUCCAAGCAAAACAACAUUCAAACAGCACAAGCUAUCACAGCCAAGCAAAACAGAGCAAAGGCAGAAAACUCUGCUCAACACAUCAACCAAAAUCACAGCUUUUCUCACGUAAAGACCACAGUAACAAUUCCUUCGAUCCAAUUCGUUAACCGUUGGAUCGACUCCAAAAUUUUACUGGAAGUCUAUAGUGUAUAGGCCUACAUUUUGACCGUUGGGAUCUACUAGCAAACAUCCAGAACUCAUUCUGCACUAGACUUUCCACAGCCAACCACACACAAGCAUUUUUCUGCACUUGUGCAAAAUUCUGCUGCACAAUUUCACAGCAAAAAUUCUGCAUAAGUGCAGAUUUCGAAAAUCACCCUUCCUCUCAUCCAAUCUUGCCCAAAUCAAAUCCUACAAGUCCCAAAUCAUGUAUCAAACAUGUCUAAACCAAAGCCAAGCUUCAAACCACAGCAACACAAAAUCUAGGUGUCCAAAACCCCUCAAUUCAAUGGCUUUUCUAGGUUUGAAAGGUGGAAUUUAGAAUGAGGUAAAUUUGGAGCAAAUUCUCACCUCACACAAGUCUAUAACAUCAAUCUAAACUCGCUCAAACUGGAUUUACACCUAAAUUUCCACCGAAUCAAAAUUUGACUCCUCAACACCCAAUUUUGCCCUAGAAAUGGCUCUUGGUUCACUUUGGUCAUUUGUUUUUCUCUCUAGCUCAGCCUAACCUUUCUCACAUGUCCUAAAUGACAUUUCAAGCUAGUAUUAACUCACUUUAACCUCCAUUUACCACAGAAUUCAGACUUAGCCUUCCAACUCUCAAAGUCUCACUUUUUUUUUUUUUUUCACUCAUAACAUCACAUUCUCACUUUCUAACCCUAGGUUAGUUCUACCCUUUGUCUCUAACAGAUUUCUAUCAGCAAUUUCAGCAUAUAAACAUCACAAACAUCAUCACAAAAACCCUAAAACAGAAUGGGUAUGUCUAAUUCACCCAAACAUGGCAAUUUCAACAAAUGCCUUCACAAAUAAUCAUCACACAGCAGAAAACUAACAAAACCACCCAUCAUAUCUCCCAAAACCCCAUACCCACGAAAUUUAAGAGAGAAAGAAGUCCACCCAAACCUGGAUUUUCGAAGUCCCACUCGUAGCCACGCACUUCACGACCCCGAAAAUGCUCUCCUUUCACGAUUUGGGGCAAAAAUGAUGGCCAAAGGUUGAAGCUUUGUGUGGAGCUUCAAUGGAGAAUGAGGGAGAAGAAAGGCAACGUGAGGGAGAGGGAGAGAGAAGGCUUCUGCAAU
rnacentral:lncRNA from 1 species